rnacentral:rRNA from 1 species
AGCAGCCGCGGUAAUUCCAGCUCCAAUAGCGUAUAUUAAAGUUGUUGCAGUUAAAAAGCUCGUAGUUGAAUUUCGAGAUCAAAUUGUUGGUCGUGCCUUGGUACGCACUGGCAUUAUUGGUUUCUCCCUUCUGAAGAACCAUGAUGUCAUUAAUUUGGUGUCUUGGGGAAUCAGGACUGUUACUUUGAAAAAUUAGAGUGUUUAAAGCAGGCUCGCGCUUGAAUACAUUAGCAUGGAAUAAUGAAAUAGGACGUUUGAUUCUAUUUUGUUGGUUUCUAGGAUCGACGUAAUGAUUAAUAGGGAUAGUUGGGGCAUUAGUAUUCAAUUGUCAGAGGUGAAAUUCUUGGAUUUAUUGAAGACUAACUACUGCGAAAGCAUUUGCCAAGGAUGUUUUCAUUAAUCAAGAACGAAAGUUAGGGGAUCGAAGACGAU